UAAUACAGAGGGUGCAAGCGUUAAUCGGAAUUACUGGGCGUAAAGCGUGCGUAGACGGUUAUUUAAGUCGGGUGUGAAAUCCCCGGGCUCAACCUGGGAAUUGCAUUCGAGACUGAAUAGCUAGGGUUCGGAAGAGGGAAGCGGAAUUUCCGGUGUAGCGGUGAAAUGCGUAGAUAUCGGAAGGAACAUCAGUGGCGAAAGCGGCUUCCUGGUCCAGAACCGACGUUCAGGCACGAAAGCGUGGGGAGCAAACAGG
rnacentral:rRNA from 1 species